rnacentral:lncRNA from 1 species
AUGGUAAGCUUGUUGAAAGACUUUUUUUUUUUUAUGCUAGCCGAGCGAGUGAGUGGGCGACCAAGAGUGAGGGAGCUCCGUCAGGACAGAGUGCGCUGCUCAGUCAGAGCUGAGUCAGCAUUUGAAAGUAUAAGUCUCCCAUACAUUUCUGAGGUUGAGGACUGGACAGUCUGCAUUUAUUUGUGGCUCUUCAGUAGUGGUAAGUACAGUUACGAAGUAAUACAUCCAAACUAACCCUUUAAGUAUCCACAGAUGUACAAAUUUAAUACUGUAUGGGAUAAUCAUUUCUUGUUUGGUUGUGUUUCAUUUCCAGUAUUAUGAAUGUGGAAGUGUAAAGAGUGUGCUGCAAAAGAAACAACAAAAUAUCACUUAUUGAAGCACUAUAGGUUAAAACAUGCCACUUUGGCCGCAAACACCCUUAUCCAUGCACAUAUUCAAAUUGCCUGUGCACAUUUAAAACUUGGAAUGCACUUCGAAGUCACCUGUGUAGAUCAAACAAGGUGAUCCACGCACAUCUCCAAAUCAAGUGAAGAAAGCUAGAAGAGCAGAAGUGAACUAUUGUCCAGAUUAUCCAACAGGACAAUCCCAAGAGAACCUUGAGGAAGAGAGACUGGCACUAUUGACUGAGGUGAGAAAGAGCAACAACCAGCAGGUGGUUAAGGAGAAAAUGGAAAAGACAUUUGCUUACAGGCGGCAUGAGGUUAUUGAAGAAAAGCCUUUCAUUGCUGAAUUCAAAAGAAGGUGGCCAGCUCUUUUCUCUGAGCAUGAGGUCAGUCAUAACUAAGUUUUUUACAUUUUAAGGGCGUGAAGGGAUGACAUUAAAAGGAAUCUUCACUAGGGCUGCAACAACAGAUUAUUUUCAUCGAUUUGAUCAUAAAAAUUAUGUCCUCAAAUGUCUGUUUACUCACAACACAGACACUCAGAGGGAAAUUGGACAAUUUUGGCAUUUUUUGGUCUGUAAAAAAAUCUCAAGAUUAUUUGCUGCUCUAACCUUCACCUAAAGGUGAAAAUUAAUGUAAUUAAAUGUAAUUUUCCAGAAAAAGCAUUGUGUCAAAUGUGUUGUACUGCAUGCAUGUGGUGGUCAUUGGAACUGGGCAACUGAGUGAUACCUGUGAAAAUUAUAACUUUGGGGAAAAUAACUAAGGCAUAUCCUAUAUUGCAUUAAUUUAGAAUGAUCCACACACUACCUACUCAUGGGACCAAAUUUUCAUCUUAGGAAGUCCCAAUAACAUUUAAUUGGUCCAGUAAUUUGAUUCUUGUUUUCUUUGACCUCUAUUGUGUUGAUAUUUUUAUACUUUGUUUGUUAAAUGUCUGUAGGUGGAAACAGAGUUUACUCGCAUCACCACUGUCCCACUGAGAUCGAAAUUCAUGCAACAGCUGGAUCAUCAUUCUACACAGCUGAUGACGAUCAAAAGUAAAGGAGGAGCAGCAGGACGGAAAAUAAGGAACAUCAUGGCAGACUUGGAUAAGGUACUUGUCCAUUUUAUUUUAUUCCAAUUUUAUUUAUUUUUUAUGAUGAAGACCAACCAGCUGGUCACCGUAGGGCUAAAAACCGUCCGCCGGUAUAUCAGUGCAUCCGUACUCCAAACAGUUAGAAACUAACCUGCAGAUCUGUGUAUGUUCCACAGAGUGUGGUGCUGAGAUGCAAAUAGCUGACAUUAUAAUGUAGCUC